CCUACGGGGUGCAGCAGUGGGGAAUAUUGCGCAAUGGGCGAAAGCCUGACGCAGCGACGCCGCGUGAGGGAUGAAGGUCUUCGGAUCGUAAACCUCUGUCAGCAGGGAAGAACGGUCACUGUGCUAAUCAGCAGUGAAUUGACGAUACCUGCAAAGGAAGCACCGGCUAACUCCGUGCCAGCAGCCGCGGUAAUACGGAGGGUGCGAGCGUUAAUCGGAAUUACUGGGCGUAAAGCGCUCGUAGGCGGUAUGUCAAGUCAAUGGUGAAAUCCCCGCGCUCAACGUGGGAACUGCCUUUGAAACUGGCAAACUGUUGGUUGUGAGAGGAUAGUGGAAUGCCAGGUGUAGGAGUGAAAUCCGUUGAUAUCUGGAGGAACAUCAUGGGCGUAUGCGACUAUCUGGCACAUAACUGACGCGUAGUAGCGAAAGCGUGGGUAGCAAACAGGAUUAGAUACCCCAGUAGUC
rnacentral:rRNA from 1 species